rnacentral:SRP_RNA from 1 species
AACAGCCCCUCGCGUGGCGUUAACCUGUGAACCUCCCCAGGGCCGGAAGGCAGCAAGGAUAAGCGGGCUCUAACGGGUGCGCGAGGGGUCUUUUUA